GAGAACCCUACUUCCCCUGAAGUCACCCGAGGACGCAGAGCUACGCUACAGCCCAGACACAGCUGUGUGGUGAUAAAAUAUACUGAGAAUGCAGAGUGCCUGCUCGGAAUGAAUCCUUGCUGGGCAAUGUCAUGAUUGUUAGACGCUAUUCCAUUUCAUCAUCAGUUUGCUCAUCUGCUGUAAAUGAUCCCUGGAAAUCUGGGAAAAGUCACCCAAAGAGCGGAAUUCUAGAAGGUCAGAGAACACUGAAGUCAUUGGCAUGUUCUCCAAUUAAGAAGCAAGACAUGGAAGAAAAGGUGUUUGCCACAGAUUCUCUCACCAGCAAUAGGACCAGCCAAAGAGCUUCUCCUGAGCAUGUUUGUGGUUGCAGGGACAAGACAAAGGCAGUCAGUUUCCUGUUACCCAUGGACAUGUCUUCAUAUUCCAAAAAUUCAAGUUCUUUGAAACACUCACCAAAUCAGGCCACAAACCAGCUAAGUAUCAUUGCAGAAUAGGAUAUGUGAAGUGAUUAAAUGUAAGAAACAGUUGAUUCUCAAGAGAUGGCAGCACCAAGGUCUAGCUGGGUCAGUGUCUUUCCCUAUAAAGAAGUCUGGCAAGAUGUCCAGUAAGACACACAAAAUAUUUGGUAUUGGGUCCAUAGACCUGUUUGGCCAAGGAGUGGAAGCAAUUAUUUUUUGUCAUUGCUGAGCACUAAUGACUGGUAUGUGUGCAGUGGCUAUUGUAGACUAUAUGACAUGUGAGUAAUUAAAUGUGAUUAUAUGCUAAGUGUCAGUGUCUGUACUAUGCCAUCAAGAAAUGCUUCUGUUCACUUUCCAGAUGAAGCUAGAACAAGCCUAGAAAAAAAGUUCUGGUUUUGAUUAGUGGCAUAAAAGCAACUAUCCUUUGUUUUCUGUGACAUAAGUGUGAUUCUCCUUUUAGUUCACUGUGUGUUGAUAUUUCACUGACACUAGCUCAUUUGUUCUUUAAGAGCCUGUGUCACAGGCGUGUGAGCUCAAACACAGCAACAUCCAUAGUUUACAUUGUGGACUCAGAGCAAUUGUGAGCUGACUAAGGGCAAGCACACUAAACCUGAUUGGAAGGAGAGAAAAAAUGGUUCUGCUCAUCACUACUCAAGGAAUGGAAGUUCUCACAACUCCCCCAAUUCCUGAACUUCUAGUUAACAGAAUAGCUCCUCUUCCUGUUUAUAGCAAUUGAGUUUCUGAUACAAAUACCCUUCUUAAACAAAGAUCGUAUUGUAUUAGAAUAUCCAGAUUAUUAAAAUGCAGAUUCCUG
rnacentral:lncRNA from 1 species